rnacentral:rRNA from 1 species
UACGUGAGCCCCGAGCAUUAUCCGGAAUCAUUGGGUUUAAAGGGUCCGUAGGCGGAUUUUUAAGUCAGUGGUGAAAGCCGACAGCUCAACUGUCGAACUGCCAUUGAUACUGGAAAUCUUGAGUACAAAUGAAGUAGGCGGAAUGAGUCAUGUAGCGGUGAAAUGCAUAGAUAUGACUCAGAACACCGAUUGCGAAGGCAGCUUACUAACAUGUAACUGACGCUGAGGGACGAAAGCGUGGGGAGCGAACAGG